AGCGGGAAUAUUGCACAACGGGCGAAAGCCAGGUGCAGCGACGCCGCGUGAGGGAUGAAGGCCCUCGGGUCGUAAACCUCUUUUGGCAGGGACGAACGCAAUGACGGUACCUGCAGAAUAAGCCCCGGCUAACUCCGUGCCAGCAGCCGCGGUAAUACGGAGGGGGCAAGCGUUGUCCGGAUUUACUGGGCGUAAAGAGCGCGUAGGUGGUCCGCUAAGUCGGCUGUGAAAUCGCUGGGCUUAACCCAGCAAUUGCAGUUGAUACUGGUGGACUCGAGUCCGGGAGAGGGAAGCGGAAUUGCUGGUGUAGCGGUGGAAUGCGUAGAUAUCAGCAAGAACACCGGUGGCGAAGGCGGCUUCCUGGACCGGUACUGACGCUGAGGCGCGAAAGCUAGGGGAGCGAACGGGAUUAGAAACCCGUGUAGUCC
rnacentral:rRNA from 1 species